rnacentral:lncRNA from 1 species
AGGCUAAAUUAAUUACUAAAAAUUAUUUAAAAAAAUAAUUGAUUAAGAACCUAUCCUAAGUGCAUAUGGCUUGAUCGAACCAUCCUCAGAUUUAUAUGCAGUGUAUAUGGAUUCUAGUACUCGCUAAAGAAUUAAGGUAAUUCUUCGAAUUGGAGGUAGAGGCUAUCAAUUCAUAUAAAAUAGUAGAAGGACCUUUAGACUAAAGUCCAUAUCUUUAGGAUUAAUAAAUUCAUAUACUGAUUAGAUUUUAUAUUUUCCUUGUGUGUGUAGAUAUGGCCUCAAACUUGUCACUCCGAUCACUGUUGGAUAGUGAGAAACUAAUCGGAUCAAAUUUUGAUGACUGAUAUCAAAAGCUCAAAAUUAUCCUAGAGCACAAGUGGAUCCUAUACGUGAUUACGGAUUCGGUACCUGAGGAGCCUGCUCCCAACGUCCGAGGUGCGGUUUAAGAUAUUUAUUUGAAGUGGCUCAAUAAUCGAAACCAUGGUUCAUUACAUUUUGCAGACCUCCAUGAAUGAUGAGUUCAGCUAAAAAUU